GAUGAAGACCGUAGCGAAAUGCGAUAAGUAGUGUGAAUUGCAGAAUUCAGUGAAUCAUCGAAUCUUUGAACGCACAUUGCGCCCUUUGGUAUUCCUUAGGGCAUGCCUGUUCGAGCGUCAUUUAAACCUUCAAGCUAAGCUUGGUGUUGGGUGACUGUCCGCUUCACUGCGGACUCGCCUCAAAAUUAUUGGCGGCCGGUACAUUGGCUUCGAGCGCAGCAGAAACGCGAACUCGGGCCCGUCGUAUUGGCUCCCAGAAGCUAUCUUCACAAUUUUAACCUCGGAUCAGGUAGGGAUACCCGCUGAACUUAAGCAUAUCAAUAAGCGGAGGA
rnacentral:misc_RNA from 1 species